UACAGAGGUCUCAAGCGUUGUUCGGGAUUCAGUUGGGCGUAAAGGGUGGUGUAGGUGGCGCGCUAAGUCGGGUGUGAAAUUUCGGAGCUUAACUCCGAAACUGCAUUCGAUACUGGCGUGCUUGAGGACUGGAGAGGAGACUGGAAUUCAUGGUGUAGCAGUGAAAUGCGUAGAGAUCAUGAGGAAGACCAGUGGCGAAGGCGGGUCUCUGGACAGUUCCUGACGCUGAGGCACGAAGGUCAGGGGGAGCAAAACGGGG
rnacentral:rRNA from 1 species